UUCUCGUGUGUCCCCCGGACCGCGGUAAUUCCAGCUCCAAUAGCGUAUAUUAAAGUUGUUGUGGUUAAAAAGCUCGUAGUUGAACCUUGGGCCUGGCUGGCCGGUCCGCCUCACCGCGUGUACUGGUCCGGCCGGGCCUUUCCCUCUGUGGAACCCCAUGCCCUUCACUGGGUGUGGCGGGGAAACAGGACUUUUACUGUGAAAAAAUUAGAGUGCUCCAGGCAGGCCUAUGCUCGAAUACAUUAGCAUGGAAUAAUAGAAUAGGACGUGUGGUUCUAUUUUGUUGGUUUCUAGGACCGCCGUAAUGAUUAAUAGGGACAGUCGGGGGCAUCAGUAUUCAAUUGUCAGAGGUGAAAUUCUUGGAUUUAUUGAAGACUAACUACUGCGAAAGCAUUUGCCAAGGAUGUUUUCAUUAAUCAGGAACGAAAGUUAGGGGAUCGAAGACGAUCAGAUACCGUCGUAGUCUUAACCAUAAACUAUGCCGACUAGGGAUCGGACGAUGUUAUAUUUUGACUCGUUCGGCACCUUACGAGAAAUCAAAGUGCUUGGGCUCCAGGGGGAGUAUGGUCGCAAGGCUGAAACUUAAAGAAAUUGACGGAAGGGCACCACCAGGGGUGGAGCCUGCGGCUUAAUUUGACUCAACACGGGGAAACUCACCAGGUCCAGACACAAUGAGGAUUGACAGAUUGAGAGCUCUUUCUUGAUUUUGUGGGUGGUGGUGCAUGGCCGUUCUUAGUUGGUGGAGUGAUUUGUCUGCUUAAUUGCGAUAACGAACGAGACCUUAACCUGCUAAAUAGCCCGUAUUGCUUUGGCAGUACGCUGGCUUCUUAGAGGGACUAUCGGCUUUAAUGGUCCGAAGGAAUUUGGAGGCAAUAACACGCAGGAUGGCCCCCUCAGCGGAA
rnacentral:rRNA from 1 species